rnacentral:rRNA from 1 species
UGCCCGUGAAUUUUUUUACGGCCGCGGUACUCUGACCGUGCAAAGGUAGCAUAAUCAUUUGCCUUAUAAUUGAAGGCUAGUAUGAAUGGUUUGACAUGAAUGUAGCUGUCUCUUUAUAAUUUAAUAGAAUUUUACUUUCAGGUGAAGAGGCCUGUAUUUAAUUAAAAGACAAGAAGACCCUAUCGAGCUUUAAAAAAACUAACAGAAUUUAGAUUAAUAUCACUAAAAAAUUGUCUGUUAUACAUUUUAGUUGGGGCGACUGAGGAACAUAAAAAGCUUCCUUUAAACUUACUAAAAUCAAACUAGAAUUGAUCCAAAACAUUUUGAUUAAAGGAAUUAGUUACCGUAGGGAUAACAGCAUUAUCUUUUUUAAGAGCUCAUAUCGAAAAAAAGGUUUGUGACCUCGAUGUUGGACCAGAAUAUCCUAAAGGUGCAGCAGCCUUUAAGGGUUGGUCUGUUCGACCAUUAAAAUUCUACCUGA